UCCCCGUUAUCCGGGGCGGUUUCGCUAGAGUGCCCGACUUGACUCGCUGGCAACUAACGAUAAGGGUUGCGCUCGUUGCGGGACUUAACCCAACACCUCACGGCACGAGCUGACGACAGCCAUGCAGCACCUAGUUUCGUGUCCUUUCGGCCUGACGCGUUUCUGCGCCAUUCACUAACUUUCGAGCCCAGGUAAGGUUCCUCGCGUAGCGUCGAAUUGAACCACAUGUUCCACCGCUUGUGCGGGCCCCCGUCAAUUCCUUUGAGUUUCAGUCUUGCGACCGUACUCCCCAGGUGCAGGACUUAACGCGUUAGCUGCGGCACCGAGGGGGUCGAUACCCCCGACACCUAGUACUCAUCGUUUACAGCGUGGACUAC
rnacentral:misc_RNA from 1 species